AGCGAACGCUGGCGGCAGGCUUAACACAUGCAAGUCGAGCGGGCACCUUCGGGUGUCAGCGGCAGGCGGGUGAGUAACACGUGGGAACGUACCCUUCGGUUCGGAAUAACGCUGGGAAACUAGCGCUAAUACCGGAUACGCCCUUAUGGGGAAAGGUUUACUGCCGAAGGAUCGGCCCGCGUCUGAUUAGCUAGUUGGUGGGGUAACGGCCUACCAAGGCGACGAUCAGUAGCUGGUCUGAGAGGAUGAUCAGCCACACUGGGACUGAGACACGGCCCAGACUCCUACGGGAGGCAGCAGUGGGGAAUAUUGGACAAUGGGCGCAAGCCUGAUCCAGCCAUGCCGUGUGAGUGAUGAAGGCCUUAGGGUUGUAAAGCUCUUUUGUCCGGGACGAUAAUGACGGUACCGGAAGAAUAAGCCCCGGCUAACUUCGUG
rnacentral:rRNA from 1 species